UAGGGAAUCUUCGGCAAUGGACGGAAGUCUGACCGAGCAACGCCGCGUGAGUGAAGAAGGUUUUCGGAUCGUAAAGCCCUGUUGUUAGAGAAGAACGUUGGUAGGAGUGGAAAAUCUAUCAAGUGACGGUAACUAACCAGAAAGGGACGGCCAACUACGUGCCAGCAGCCGCGGUAAUACGUAGGUCCCGAGCGUUGCCCGGAUUUAUUGGGCGUAAAGCGAGCGCAGGCGGUUCUUUAAGUCUGAAGUUAAAGGCAGUGGCUUAACCAUUGUACGCUUUGGAAACUGGAGGACUUGGGGGCAGAAGGGGGGAGUGGAAUUCCAUAUGUAGCAGUGAAAUGCGUAGAUAUAUGGAGGAACACCAGUGGCGAAAGCAGCUCUCUGGUCUGUAACUGGCGCUGAGGCUCGAAAGCGUGGGGAGCAAACAGG
rnacentral:rRNA from 1 species